GACAUUGCGUCGACAGUCCGCGAACUGAUUUCGGACUGAUGGCUGGUGGCUAUUGCCACCGGCCU
rnacentral:sRNA from 1 species